GAGGCCCAAGUUGAUAGCAACCGGCAUAAAAAGUGGCUUAAACAGAACACUAGAGCCAAACAUUUUCAGAGCAGUUAUAUGCCCAUGAGAACAGGAGGCCCUAUCACGAAAGUAGCUCUAAAAAUUUUUACCACGAAAGCUGGGGCACAAACUGGGAUUAGAUACCCCACUAUGCCUAGCCCUAAACACAAGUGGCAUAUCAUUAUUCUACUUGCCAGGAAACUACGAGCCCUGCUUAAAACCCAAAGGACUUGGCGGUGCUUUAGACCCCCCUAGAGGAGCCUGUUCUAGAACCGAUAACCCCCGUUAAACCUCACCCUCCCUUGCUUUUCCCGCCUAUAUACCACCGUCGUCAGCCCACCCCAUGAGGGACAAACAGUGGGCACAAAUGGCACAGCCCAAAACGUCAGGUCGAGGUGUAGCGCAUGAGAGGGGAAGAAAUGGGCUACAUUUACUGAAACAGUAAACACGGACAAUGCUUUGAAACAAGUUAAUGAAGGAGGAUUUAGCAGUAAGAAGGGACUAGAGCGCCCAACUGAAACUGGCCCUAAAGCGCGCACACACCGCCCGUCACUCUCUCCAACAA
rnacentral:rRNA from 1 species